rnacentral:rRNA from 1 species
GACGAACGCUGGCGGCGUGCUUAACACAUGCAAGUCGAACGGAAAGGCCCUGCUUUUGUGGGGUGCUCGAGUGGCGAACGGGUGAGUAACACGUGAGUAACCUGCCCUUGACUUUGGGAUAACUUCAGGAAACUGGGGCUAAUACCGGAUAGGAGCUCCUGCUGCAUGGUGGGGGUUGGAAAGUUUCGGCGGUUGGGGAUGGACUCGCGGCUUAUCAGCUUGUUGGUGGGGUAGUGGCUUACCAAGGCUUUGACGGGUAGCCGGCCUGAGAGGGUGACCGGCCACAGUGGGACUGGGAUACGGCCCAGACGCCUACGGGAGGCAAGGGGGGGGAAUAUGGCACAAGGGGGGGAGGCCGAUGCAGCAACGCCGCGUGCGGGAUGACGGCCUUCGGGUUGUAAACCGCUUUCGCCUGUGACGAAGCGUGAGUGACGGUAAUGGGUAAAGAAGCACCGGCUAACUACGUG